UACAGAGGGGGCAAGCGUUGUUCGGAAUUACUGGGCGUAAGGGGCGCGUAGGCGGCCUGUUAAGUCGAACGUGAAAUCCCCGGGCUCAACCCGGGAACUGCGUCCGAAACUGGCAGGCUCGAAUUCGGGAGAGGGAUGCGGAAUUCCAGGUGCAGCGGUGAAAUGCGCAGAUAUCAGGAGGAACACCUAUGGCGAAGGCAGCUCGCUGGGACGGUAUUGACGCUGAGACGCGAAAGCGUGGGGAGCGAACAGG
rnacentral:rRNA from 1 species